AGCGAACGCUGGCGGCAGGCCUAACACAUGCAAGUCGAACGAACCUUUCGGGGUUAGUGGCGGACGGGUGAGUAACACGUGGGAACGUGCCUUUAGGUUCGGAAUAACUCAGGGAAACUUGUGCUAAUACCGAAUGUGCCCUUCGGGGGAAAGAUUAAUCGCCUUUAGAGCGGCCCGCGUCUGAUUAGCUAGUUGGUUGAGGUAAUGGCUCACCAAGGCGACGAUCAGUAGCUGGUCUGAGAGGAUGAUCAGCCACAUUGGGACUGAGACACGGCCCAAACUCCUACGGGAGGCAGGAGUGGGGAAUCUUGCGCAAUGGGCGAAAGCCUGACGAAGCCAUGCCGGGUGAAUGAGGAAGGUCGUAGGAUUGUAAAAUUCUUUCACCGGGGACGAUAAUGACGGUACCCGGAGAAGAAGCCCCGGCUAACUUCGUG
rnacentral:rRNA from 1 species